GAUCUGGCUCAGGAUAAACGCUGGCGGCGCACAUAAGACAUGCAAGUCGAACGGACUUAACUCAUCUUUAGAUUGAGAGCGGUUAGUGGCGGACUGGUGAGUAACACGUAAGUAACCUGCCUAUUAGAGGGGAAUAACAGUGAGAAAUCAUUGCUAAUACCGCAUAAGCUGAUAAUAUCGCAUGAUAUAGUCAGAAAAGGAGUAAUCCGCUAAUAGAUGGGCUUGCGGCUGAUUAGCUAGUUGGUGAGGUAACGGCUUACCAAGGCGACGAUCAGUAGCCGAGCUGAGAGGCUCUACGGCCACAUUGGGACUGAGAUACGGCCCAGACUCCUACGGGAGGCAGCAGUCGGGAAUAUUGCGCAAUGGAGGAAACUCCUGACGCAGUGACGCCGCGUAUAGGAUGAAGGUUUUCGGAUUGUAAACUAUUGUCGUUAGGGAAGAAAUUUGACAGUACCUAAGGAGGAAGCUCCGGCUAACUAUGUGCCAGCCGCCGC
rnacentral:rRNA from 1 species